UGAGAAAUARSUHCCCCUUUUHCGGRGGGCVVCNGGCGCGCMAAUUGCCCAAUGUCAAAAAAAAAACGAUGAGGCAGCGAAAAGAAAUAGAGCCGGCAGUGCCAAUGGCAUUGCCGUUUUCAAUGGGGGAUAUCUAAACCCAUCCAAAAUCGAGUAUCAAUUGGAGGACAAGUCUGGUGCCAGCACCCGCGGUAWUUCCAGCUCCAAA
rnacentral:rRNA from 1 species